GUUCCCAUGAAUACUGUUAUUUUCAGUAUGAGGACAUACCCAGGGACCUAUGCAACAAAUACACACAUUCUGAGCUCUGGGACCCUUCUUCAUAUUGCAGUCAUCGGCUCUGUGUUUCUGUGUGUUCUGGGUAAUGCGUAUGCACAUAUGUUGAAAAAUGCUAACCCAUGUGGGCGGGUGAUGUUUGGGUGAGCGGCUUGUGUGGCUUGAGGGAAGGGCAGAUGUUGUGGGGGGGAUAUGGAUGGUUGUGUGGAAAAAGAAUUUGCUUAAAACCAACAAAGCAGUCUUAAAUGGGAAACAUGACCCUGGUACUAAUCUGCUCUUCCUGGUAGUAAUCAGACAGCACGAGUCCCAUCCCUCCGCCGUUCCCCAUAUUUUACAGUUAAUUAGAUAGAAGGGCAGGAACCCUGCCCACCCCCAAUCACUCACACAUGUACACAUGGACUGUUUGGACUUUUAAAAAUAAGAGAGUGUAAAUACUGUGUUUUUACUGCAUUAGUCAUGAAUUUGCACAUGCAUUUGUACUAAAAGGAUUUUUUCUUUUUUUCUUUUUGUUUAUUAAUUGUGUUUUCCUCAUCAUUCCUUAUAAUUGGGCAAUUAAUAACCAUGCUCUUUUCAGCUUUGGGCAAUAGGAAACCAUGAAACAUCUUAAUUGAUGGCCAGGGGUGUGUGGUGAAGUUUAUGAGCAAAUUGUGUUCUUGGCCAAUGAGAUGACAAGCUGGGACCAAGCCUCCCUUUAAAUUCAGCACAGCUGGUAGUUUUUUUUUUUUUGUGUAUGUGUAUGAAGCAAUGGUCUCCAACCCUGGUCCUGGAGAGCUACAGGUUCUGCUGGUUUUUGUUUUCACCUUAAAAUCAGCACCCAAUUGAGACCCAAGACACCAGGCAAGUUGAGUUAACUGUGUAAUCAACUGCUCUAAUUGAUUCAUGAAGUGCAGAGUCACUAUGAAAACCAGCAGACCCUGUAGCUCUCCAGGACCAGGGUUGGAGACCACUGGUAUAGAGGGUGGAUUGUUGUUGAGGGGAGCGGAUCUUGCGUUACUUAAGGUCCUGCAGCUUAUACCCAUGUGGUAUUGUUUAAUCAUUUGUAUUUAGUGCUUUUUGAUAGUACCAGAGUUCCUACAACUCUUAUUGACUUAUAGCAAGUGCAUGUGAACUCCUACAGAUUUGUGGUGCCAUGUGUGCUUGUACUGUGGUUUAGACCUUUGCAUUUCACUAGUCUCAAGUUGCUUGUGAUUAUGUUAGAGGUAAUGUUACAUUAAACUCUGGACAACUGUAGACCUACCAGUUAGCUAGGCUACUGAAUGGCAACAUGAGCCAUGGGUAUCUUUGUUGUAGUUUUGAAAAACAAAUUUACAAUUGAUAUGAAAUGUUGACAUCAUGGCUGUGUAUUGGGUUAGAACUUCUGUAGUGCACUUUAGUGCAGUGCUAUUUGGUUGUUGUGGGUAGAUUACAUAUGCAGACAUCUUGUUUCAUUGUUUUGUUGUGCUCCAGGUCUGUUAGUUUGUCAUUGUGAACCAUUUUAUUUUGCUUUCCUUAAACUGAUCUGUCUGGGUCAUUUGUCACUAGUCUCACUAACAUCAAUUGUAUUAAAACAUACAACCCAGGGAGCAACCAUAAUUGGAGGAGACUGGUUCUGUUUUCUGAAGCCUGACCUGGUGACCCUUUUGGUCAUUCGGUAGGCGGACUGCAGAAACAUCCACCUGACUUUGAGGUGGUGUGUGCAUGUCCCAUUUCAGGGUAGAUGCACUCCACCUGCCGCCAUGGAAGCUCUAUACAUUUUAUUCUAUCUUCUGUAAAUUAACUUGAUGUGCUGUGUGGAAACUGUAGGCAUGCCCUUGAUUACUGUUGCACUACCUUUUGUGUAAGAUCUGCCCUCUUACCUCCACAUAGAGCAAGUCAGUGGCAGAUCUCUGAAUUAAACCCUAUAUGCAAACAUAUUCAGUAAUGCUCCAUUACUGACGGUCCAAUGGGAAAUGCUAAUGAAUUUAAAGUGUAUCGUAGCUUUAAUACCUUUCUGACCUAAUUUGUUUAAUAUUGGGUGCCCCCUGACUUUCUCCUCUUCCUCUUAUCUCCACACAAACAUGACCGUUACAAACUAUUCCAUUUAACAGGGUUUAUCUGGUAUAUUAACCAUUUGUAAUAACAUGCAAAAAAUAAUUAAUUUCAUGCUGUGUCAUUAUUUUCAAGAUUUAAGAUCACAGUAUUUUUAAUGCUGGAAUAUUUGUCAGUUUCCAAAACCAUGCUAACCGCAUGAAUCAAUCCCAUAGUCCUCAUCCUUUUGCGUUUUGUUCUUUUGAACUGGUUCAAAACAUGUUAAUAAAAGCAGAGAAAAUCCUGUUAUGUUGAAUAAAUAUUUGCACUAAUCUGAUUAAAAAAACAAUCAGCCUGUUUAUCAUUGUGCAUGCCCAGAGGUUUAUUUGAUCAGAAUUUUAUUUUUUUAAAUGAAGAGACUGUCUGCAAGCAAGAUUAAUCUUAACAGGCUAUUCUUUUACAGAGCUGGAAAUCAUAAAAUAUGUGGUAGCUGCUGGGAGUCCUCAGCCACAGCCAAAGGGAUGCAAUCGGUACAAAGCAUGACUGCUGGGAAAUAGCAGGCUGUGGGUGUUCUGUGAGUGUUCAGAUGCAGAACCCCAGGGGAAAAUAAAGACCCAUUCAGUGAACAAAUCCUGUGGGUUCCCAUCUGGUUGAGUACAUCAUUAAUUGACUCUGAGAGGAAGGCUGUUUACUUUGCUUUUACAGAGAAUCUAUGAACAGGGAAACAUAUUGAAAGGGCUCUGUAAUGUU